rnacentral:rRNA from 1 species
GAGUUUGAUCCUGGCUCAGAUUGAACGCUGGCGGCAGGCCUAACACAUGCAAGUCGAGCGGAAACGAGUUAACUGAACCUUCGGGGAACGUUAACGGCGUCGAGCGGCGGACGGGUGAGUAAUGCCUGGGAAAUUGCCCUGAUGUGGGGGAUAACCAUUGGAAACGAUGGCUAAUACCGCAUAAUAGCUUCGGCUCAAAGAGGGGGACCUUCGGGCCUCUCGCGUCAGGAUAUGCCCAGGUGGGAUUAGCUAGUUGGUGAGGUAAUGGCUCACCAAGGCGACGAUCCCUAGCUGGUCUGAGAGGAUGAUCAGCCACACUGGAACUGAGACACGGUCCAGACUCCUACGGGAGGCAGCAGUGGGGAAUAUUGCACAAUGGGCGCAAGCCUGAUGCAGCCAUGCCGCGUGUAUGAAGAAGGCCUUCGGGUUGUAAAGUACUUUCAGCAGUGAGGAAGGUGGAUAUGUUAAUAGCAUACUCAUUUGACGUUAGCUGCAGAAGAAGCACCGGCUAACUCCGUGCCAGCAGCCGCGGUAAUACGGAGGGUGCGAGCGUUAAUCGGAAUUACUGGGCGUAAAGCGCAUGCAGGUGGUUUGUUAAGUCAGAUGUGAAAGCCCGGGGCUCAACCUCGGAAUUGCAUUUGAAACUGGCAAACUAGAGUACUGUAGAGGGGGGUAGAAUUUCAGGUGUAGCGGUGAAAUGCGUAGAGAUCUGAAGGAAUACCGGUGGCGAAGGCGGCCCCCUGGACAGAUACUGACACUCAGAUGCGAAAGCGUGGGGAGCAAACAGGAUUAGAUACCCUGGUAGUCCACGCCGUAAACGAUGUCUACUUGGAGGUUGUGGCCUUGAGCCGUGGCUUUCGGAGCUAACGCGUUAAGUAGACCGCCUGGGGAGUACGGUCGCAAGAUUAAAACUCAAAUGAAUUGACGGGGGCCCGCACAAGCGGUGGAGCAUGUGGUUUAAUUCGAUGCAACGCGAAAAACCUUACCUACUCUUGACAUCUACAGAAGCCAGCGGAGACCCAGGUGUGCCUUCGGGAACUGUAAGACAGGUGCUGCAUGGCUGUCGUCAGCUCGGGUUGGGAAAUGUUGGGUUAAAUCCCGCAACGAGCGCAACCCUUAUCCUUGUUUGCCAACCCUUCGGGUGGGAACUCCAGGGAAAAUGCCGGGU